ensembl:misc_RNA 7SK 7SK RNA
GAAUAGAGGGUUUGGACACCCAUCACCUUAUUGAUUCCCCAGGCUAAUUUCACAAUCUGUCUGGAUAGAUGGGUACCCCCUUCCUCCCUCACUACCCCAUGCAUAUCCCCACCAAAGCUGCCUCCAAAAUUCACCAUGGUUAUAUAAGUGACUGCAUUCUACUUCUAGAACCACCACAUAAGGUCUCUAGGAAGGAAGAGUGCAUAAGACUCUGUAAGUGCCUUUGAAGUAUGUGGACACCAAUUUAAAGUUGAAGAUAUUUACCCGAGUAGUGUUUUUC